rnacentral:rRNA from 1 species
GAUGAACGCUAGCGGCAGGCUUAACACAUGCAAGUCGAGGGGCAGCAAGGAUUGUGCUUGCACAAUCUGUUGGCGACCGGCGCACGGGUGCGUAACGCGUAUGCAACCUACCUUUAACAGGGGGAUAACACUGAGAAAUUGGUACUAAUACCCCAUAAUACUUUGAAAGGCAUCUUUCGAAGUUGAAAGUUCCGGCGGUUAGAGAUGGGCAUGCGUUGUAUUAGCUAGAUGGUGAGGUAACGGCUCACCAUGGCGACGAUACAUAGGGGGACUGAGAGGUUAACCCCCCCACAUUGGUACUGAGACACGGACCAAACUCCUACGGGAGGCAGCAGUGAGGAAUAUUGGUCAAUGGACGCAAGUCUGAACCAGCCAUGCCGCGUGCAGGAUGACGGCUCUAUGAGUUGUAAACUGCUUUUGUAUUAGGGUAAACCUUAGUACGUGUACUAAGCUGAAAGUAUAAUACGAAUAAGGAUCGGCUAACUCCGUGCCAGCCGCCGCGGUAACAC